GACUGGUGUUCUGUUCUGUUAUCUUUCACCGUGGUGAGACGCUAGCGGCUAGACACUUAAGAGGAAAGACAAGUGAAUGUCGAAAUGUAUUAUUUAUGUGUAUGCUGUUUGUAUUUCCCCGAAAAAAAUGUAACUGAAAGACAAUUCUGAAGAUAGCAUAGCUCACACCGUUAAUUGUUCGAUUAUACGUCUUCAGUGUCAUCCUCCACUUUUUUCAGAAACAUAUGUAGCCUAUGAUAAGCUAGUGAAAUUUGAAAUAUUGCUUAUCUCUCUAAAUUAUGUGCAUGCCAGGUAUACAUGACAGACUUCGUAUGCAGCAAUAUCAAUGUCUCUUUUUCUCUGUGUGUUUUCCUGAAACCAGAUAUGUAAUCACUCGAAGAAAUAGUUUCUUUUUUGUUUUCAGUUAGCAAUUAGUGGAAGAUCACUUAGAGAAGAAGAAUGAUUUCCGCAUUAAAGGGUGAAAUUGACAUCCAGAAAUUGCCUGUGGAUUCAGAGGAACACAAGUUUAAUUCAUGGAAAGUAAAAUACAAGAAAAGUCACAUACUACACUCAAAAUGUGUCAAUGGGCCUUGCGAAGACGAUAAAAAUAAAUGCUUGUUGUGCAUUUACAACAGUGAACUAGAGCUUCCACAUUUACCUGACAUGGUGUUCCCCAACAAUGUGAUGGUGCUACAGCAUGAUAAUGGUUGUGGAAUAGAGUUCAAUGCCUUGGAUGCUCUGCGAAGAGUCAGUAAUGGAAAAUUAUCUUUGAAAGUUGCCUGUUCUGAGGAAUGGAAGGAAUCAAGACAGGAGCAUGGAAAUCUUGAUGAAGUUAAGCCAUUUGACUGGACAUUUACCACGGACUAUAUGGGCACAUUGUUGGGAAAUUUUAUUGUCAGACAAACAGAUGAGAGGAUAAAUAUUGAGAAACUACGGCAAAGGGAGCAAAUAUUAUUUUAUAAUGAUCUCACAUUGUUUGAAGAUGAGUUACAUGAUAAUGGCAUUGCAGUUUGCUCAGUGAAAGUGAGGGUAAUGCCAAGUAGUUUCUUUGUCUUGUUGCGGUACUUCCUGAGGGUGGACAAUGUCAUGUUGCGAACAAAUGAUACUCGGCUGUAUCAUGAAUUUGGAACAGAUUUUAUACUGAGAGAAUAUACAUCUAGAGCAGCUCAGGCAUCCGAAAUAAAACAUGUUCCACCUUCUGUCCUCAGAGAACCAAAUGAGGUGUCACCACUUCUUCCAUUAAUUGAGUCUCAUUAUUCUAAACUUAGCUUCCCAGAAAGCAGUUCUUCAGGAAUAAAAUAAUUUGCAGAAUGUAUGAUAAAGCCAACGUUGUCAUUUUUGGUGUGUGUGUGUGUUUUUUUAAUAAUUGGUGUACUUUAUAUUGCUGAAGUAUGUUUAUAUUGUCAAGUACAUGGUUUUUAGCAGUAGUUAAAAUGUAAAAUGCAAGGGAAAUCGAGUCUAUGAACUCGUGUAAAAACAUGUGGCUCAUACUGAUUAAGCCUUGAAUAAUCAGUGAGACCUGUUGUCAAUGUUACUAACAGUGAUCAAUCCAUUCCAUGGAAUUGAGGAAAUUGAAUAAUUGAUGUAUAUUGCUUCUCUAGAGCUGCAAACUUAAUGAAAUGAUGUAGGUUUCAUUUCUUUAUCCUGUUUUUUGCCUGUGCAUUUGUCUGUAAUGAGAGAACUGUUACAUCUUUCCUACACCCCAUAUAAUGUAUUUACUAUUUCAGAAAUCUACCAGUAUAUAUGUAGAAUCAUAAUUAGUUGUCAUAUUCUCAAUUAAUUAUGAAAGCAUUAAAUUUUGUGAGCACUGUUGAGGACGUCAAAAAAGUUGUUAACCAUUACAAUAACAGAAUAUGUACAUAUUGAAUAGGUAUUUGUAAAAUUAUGUAAACAUUAUGUUUAAUGAGACACUGUACUUUGUGCUCAUUUCCCAUCACCUGCGCGCACUUGUAAAAUUAUGUAAACAUUAUGUUUAGUGAGACCCUGUACUUUGUGCUCAUUUCCCAUCACGUGCACGCGUGUGUGUGUGUGUGUGUGUGUGUGUGUGUGUGUACAUCAUGAAAAUUGUUAACCAGUACAAUAUAUUGUGAACAGAAUAGGUAUUCAUUGAACAAGUGUUCACAGAAUUAGUGAGACACUGUACUUUGCGCUCAUUUCCAACCUUGUGUGUGUGUGUGUGUGUGUGUGUGUGUGUGUGUGUGUGUAAAAGCAGACAUCAUGUUUUAUCAAUAUACAUUAAAAAAGUGAAAUUUUGAAAAGUAAA